GAUCUAUAGUUGGAAAAUUUUCUUCUAGUCGCUUAACCAUCAUUAAAGCAAAGGCCUUCAGAAAAGCAACAACACCUAUCACGCUUACUUUUCGCUGGACAAGUAGGUUGGAGAUUAGUCACUUUGUACCUCAAAAGGCUGUCAACCAUACCAA